rnacentral:tRNA from 3 species
CGGGGUGUAGUUCAGUUGGCUAGAACGCCAGGCUGGGGGUCUGGAAGUCGCCGGUUCAAGUCCGGCCACCCCGACAA